rnacentral:rRNA from 1 species
ACACGACUACAUUAGAUACCCCGGUAGUCCUAGCCGUAAACGAUACUCGCUAGGUGUCGGCCACGGUGCGACCGUUGUCGGUGCCGUAGGGAAGCCGUGAAGCGAGCCACCUGGGAAGUACGGCCGCAAGGCUGAAACUUAAAGGAAUUGGCGGGGGAGCACAACAACGGGUGGAGCUUGCGGUUUAAUUGGAUUCAACGCCGGAAAUCUUACCGGGACCGACAGCAACAUGGAGGCCAAGCUGAAGACUUUGCCGGAUUAGCUG